GCCAGACUCCUACGGGAGGCAGCAGUGGGGAAUAUUGCACAAUGGGGGAAACCCUGAUGCAGCGACGCCGCGUGAGCGAUGAAGUAUUUCGGUAUGUAAAGCUCUCUCAGCAGGGAAGAAAAUGACGGUACCUGACUAAGAAGCCCCGGCUAACUACGUGCCAGCAGCCGCGGUAAUACGUAGGGGGCAAGCGUUAUCCGGAUUUACUGGGUGUAAAGGGAGCGUAGACGGUGAUGCAAGUCAGAAGUGAAAGCCCGGGGCUCAACUCCGGGACUGCUUUUGAAACUGUGUGACUGGAGUGCAGGAGAGGUAAGCGGAAUUCCUGGUGUAGCGGUGAAAUGCGUAGAUAUCAGGAGGAACACCAGUGGCGAAGGCGGCUUACUGGACUGUAACUGACGUUGAGGCUCGAAAGCGUGGGGAGCAAACAGGAUUAGAUACCCUAGUAA
rnacentral:rRNA from 1 species